rnacentral:lncRNA from 7 species
AGAGGAACCUGGGGCGAGGACACAGAGUGGAAGAGAAGGGCGAGGGAUGCACCCAGAACAGAUCUGACUAUGGGUCACUCUGCCCUACAUGCACCAAAGCUCCAUGCUGCUGCCAGCCAGGAGGUGUAAGCUCCCAGCGAUUGGCUGCACCUGCAACUGCAGCCCCAGGUGCAGGAAGAGAAGUGACUGUGAGAGAAGAAUCCCUCCAUGAGGACAGGGACAAGAGGCAGCAGACCUGAAAAAUGCUCCUGCCGAUCAGCAGCCAGAGGGGCUCCUUUGGCUAAGGACAUCAACCCCUGUAAUUGCAGGAGGGAGCCCACCAGGACACACAGUCAGUGAGCAGCAGAUCUCUGUCAUGCCCUUCCAGGGUGCAGGAGCUCUCCCUCUUAAGUGACGUCACGGGUGGUUAUCCCCUCUUUCCUGUGUAAGAGCAGCAGCUGCAGCUCCUCUGCUCACUACUCAGCCAUCCUUGCAUCCUUGCGUGGACAGCUCUGUUGCCAUCUUCUACGGAGAGAACAGAGUGGCUGUCCUGGUCCCUGAGGGCAGGGACCCGGGCCUGGCAUUCCCCGAUGCUUUCAGCAUGGACUGAGAGCAGUGCCAGUCCUUCAAGGCAGCAAAGGGCAAGAAGGCAAUGAUGUUGGGCGUCCACAGUGGGACUGAGAAGAUAGAGGCCCCAGUGCUUCUUCUGGCUGCAGUAGGACAGGCAGCGACCCUGGGAACAGCAGAAAGAUGCCUCCGUGGGUACCACCUCUCCUUGCUGUGGCAUACUGUGGAUCAGUCUCCUUCAAAACCGCUGCUUCUCUUUCAAGGAAAAUCAGGGCUAUGGCAUGCUGCUGACCCAAUAGCCCUGGAAGGAGAAAGAGAGACAGAGGAAGUGCCAACACAGAGGUAACCAUGAAAAUUCUAGAGGUGAGCAGCCCUGGGCAACGGCCCUGCAAAGACACCCCCUGGCCCCACAUGUCCACCACUCCAUCACGUGCUCUCCAUCCACUCACUUUGUCUCCUUUGCCAGCAGUUUGGGACUUCCGCACGUCUUCACAGCACUUGAGGAUGCAGUAAGUAAAAUUGUCCCUUCUUGGAACACGGCAGCCCUCUCCAGUCACCUCCCACCAAAUGAAAUCCCACUAACACUGCUCUCUGCUCUGCUACAGCUCCUCAGUGCCCAGGAAAAUGGAUAAGAACUGUGAAAUACUCGACCAGUUCAACAGACGUCUUCAGGCCUUGACCAGAUGCAUGGCGAUGUGAGACCACUGAUAAGAGAUGGGGACGGGGACAGGGGCAGGGCUUGGUGACAUGGAAAACUGCAAUGACUCAGGGAGGGCACAGGGAUAUCCACAGACUUGAAAUCUGAGAGGCAAUGCCCUUGUAGAAGGGUUUACCACUGAGGCACAGACAUGACAGUGUCACCCUUGCUCUGUGCCCUGUAAGCGGGGAUGGAACCUUGGGCACACACUUUUGGGGAGCCUGUGGAAAUGACACAGCCUGCCAACACCUUUGAAGCGACAGAAAAGCCCCGGGGUCCUCAGGAGAGUUUGGCUCAGAACCGCCCUCAUCUUCCUUCUCUUUCUCCAUCUCACACAGGCUCACCUUGGAACUGCCUGAGGGCAGCGAUGAUUCCACCAGCUCGGUCACAGUGAGUGAAAACUGCUGCUCUUUGAGGACAUCGCUGUAUCCGU